rnacentral:rRNA from 1 species
UGAGGAAUAUUGGUCAAUGGGUGCAAGCCUGAACCAGCCAUCCCGCGUGAAGGACGACUGCCCUAUGGGUUGUAAACUUCUUUUGUAUAGGGAUAAACCUACCCUCGUGAGGGUAGCUGAAGGUACUAUACGAAUAAGCACCGGCUAACUCCGUGCCAGCAGCCGCGGUAAUACGGAGGGUGCAAGCGUUAUCCGGAUUUAUUGGGUUUAAAGGGUCCGUAGGCGGACUUAUAAGUCAGUGGUGAAAGCCUGUCGCUUAACGAUAGAACUGCCAUUGAUACUGUAAGUCUUGAGUAUAUUUGAGGUAGCUGGAAUAAGUAGUGUAGCGGCGAAAUGCAUAGAUAUUACUUAGAACACCAAUUGCAAAGGCAGGUUACCAAGAUAUAACUGACGCUGAGGCACGAAAGCGUGGGGAGCGAACA